rnacentral:rRNA from 1 species
UAAGUGAUGAUAGCCUAGGAGAUACACCUGUUCCCAUGCCGAACACAGAAGUUAAGCCCUAGUACGCCUGAUGUAGUUGGGGGUUGCCCCCUGUUAGAUAUGGUAGUCGCUUAGC